AUACGUAGGGUGCGAGCGUUAAUCGGAAUUACUGGGCGUAAAGCGUGCGCAGGUGGUUUUGUAAGUCAGAUGUGAAAUCCCCGGGCUUAACCUGGGAACUGCGUUUGAAACUGCAAGGCUAGAGUGUGGCAGAGGGGGGUGGAAUUCCGCGUGUAGCAGUGAAAUGCGUAGAGAUGCGGAGGAACACCGAUGGCGAAGGCAGCCCCCUGGGUCAGCACUGACGCUCAGGCACGAAAGCAUGGGGAGCAAACAGGAUUAGAUACCCCGGUAGUCC
rnacentral:rRNA from 1 species